rnacentral:rRNA from 1 species
UACGUAGGGUGCGAGCGUUGUCCGGAAUUAUUGGGCGUAAAGGGCUCGUAGGCGGUUUGUCACGUCGGGAGUGAAAACUCGGGGCUCAACCCCGAGCUUGCUUCCGAUACGGGCUAACUAGAGGUAUGCAGGGGAGAACGGAAUUCCUGGUGUAGCGGUGAAAUGCGCAGAUAUCAGGAGGAACACCGGUGGCGAAGGCGGUUCUCUGGGCAUUACCUGACGCUGAGGAGCGAAAGUGUGGGGAGCGAACAGGAUUAGAUACCCUGGUAGUCCACACCGUAAACGUUGGGCGCUAGGUGUGGGACUCAUUCCACGAGUUCCGUGCCGCAGCUAACGCAUUAAGCGCCCCGCCUGGGGAGUACGGCCGCAAGGCUAAA